GGAGAAUUACCCAAGAGGCUAAAGGGGGCGCUUUGCUAAUGCGCUAGGUGGCGUAAGCCAUGCGGGGGUUCGAAUCCCUCAUUCUCUGUCA
rnacentral:tRNA from 1 species